GAUUUCUGGUGUGGUGCGCCGAGCCCGCCCCCUUUGGGGGUGAGUGCUUGCUGCGCGCCUACCAUACUUCAGGAGAGCCCUGCCCGGCCCUUCAGUGGGUCUGGGUGGCGGCCAUCCUGAUCGUUUACUUUGAAAAAAUUAGAGUGUUUCAAGCAGGCAUAUCGCUAUGAAUACAUUAGCAUGGAAUAAUAAGAUAGGACUUUGGUUCUAUUUUGUUGGUUUCUAGGACUAAAGUAAUGAUUGAUAGGGACAGUUGGGGGUGCUAGUAUUUAACGGCCAGAGGUGAAAUUCUUGGAUUCGUUAAAGACUAACUUAUGCGAAAGCAUU
rnacentral:rRNA from 1 species